rnacentral:misc_RNA from 1 species
GCCGUAGGUGAACCUGCGGAAGGAUCAUUACCGAGUGCGGGUCCUUUGGGCCCAACCUCCCAUCCGUUUCGAUUAUACCCUGUUGCUUCGGCGGGCCCGCCGCUUGUCGGCCGCCGGGGGGGCGCCUUUGCCCCCCGUGCCCGUGCCCGCCGGAGACCCCAACACGAACACUGUCUGAAAGCGUGCAGUCUGAGUUGAUUGAAUGCAAUCAGUUAAAACUUUCAACAAUGGAUCUCUUGGUUCCGGCAUCGAUGAAGAACGCAGCGAAAUGCGAUAACUAAUGUGAAUUGCAGAAUUCAGUGAAUCAUCGAGUCUUUGAACGCACAUUGCGCCCCCUGGUAUUCCGGGGGGCAUGCCUGUCCGAGCGUCAUUGCUGCCCUCAAGCCCGGCUUGUGUGUUGGGUCGCCGUCCCCCUCUCCGGGGGGACGGGCCCGAAAGGCAGCGGCGGCACCGCGUCCGAUCCUCGAGCGUAUGGGGCUUUGUCACAUGCGCUGUAGGAUUGGCCGGCGCCUGCCGACGUUUUCCAACCAUUUUUUCCAGGUUGACCUCGGAUCAGGUAGAGAUACCCGCUGAACUUAAGCAUAUCAAUAAGGCCGGA